UCGACGGCAGCACGGGUGCUUGCACCUGGUGGCGAGUGGCGAACGGGUGAGUAAUGCGUCGGAACGUACCGAGUAAUGGGGGAUAACGCAGCGAAAGUUGUGCUAAUACCGCAUACGCCCUGAGGGGGAAAGUGGGGGACCGCAAGGCCUCACGUUAUUCGAGCGGCCGACGUCUGAUUAGCUAGUUGGUGGGGUAAAGGCCUACCAAGGCGACGAUCAGUAGCGGGUCUGAGAGGAUGAUCCGCCACACUGGGACUGAGACACGGCCCAGACUCCUACGGGAGGCAGCAGUGGGGAAUUUUGGACAAUGGGGGCAACCCUGAUCCAGCCAUUCCGCGUGAGUGAAGAAGGCCUUCGGGUUGUAAAGCUCUUUCAGCUGGAACGAAACGGUACGCGCUAACAUCGUGUGCUAAUGACGGUACCGGCAGAAGAAGCACCGGCUAACUACGUGCCAGCAGCCGCGGUAAUACGUAGGGUGCGAGCGUUAAUCGGAAUUACUGGGCGUAAAGCGUGCGCAGGCGGAUUGUUAAGCAAGACGUGAAAUCCCCGGGCUUAACCUGGGAAUGGCGUUUUGAACUGGCAGUCUAGAGUGCGUCAGAGGGGGGUGGAAUUCCACGUGUAGCAGUGAAAUGCGU
rnacentral:rRNA from 1 species